AUGCAGUUUAGAUGCUUGGUGUUACGGGCCUCCUGUUGUAGUUUGAAUGAAGAUGAUGAAGUGAGCUACAAAUGUCUGUUCUCUUACCCUUCACACACAGUUGCUGUGCUUGGUCGUCCACCUAGACCUCCACCUAGACGUCGGCGGCCUCGCUUUGACCCACCUACUUCCCACGUUGAGGAAGUUGUCCCCCCCACCUCUGACAUUCAGGUACCUCACUUGGACUCACCCCCUUCUUACUGUGAGGUUCCACCAAGCUGGGGGGAAACACCACUUCCUCUUUACUGUGAGCUUUUUCCUUCUUCUUCUCCUCCACACUCUCCCCUUCCUUCUGGCUCUUUUGCUCCUUCUCUUUCUCCUCCAGGCUCUCCUGUUCCUUCUGGCUCUUUUGCUCCUUCUCUUUCUCCUCCAGGCUCUCCUGUUCCUUCUGGCUCUUUUGCACUUUCUCUUUCUCCUCCAGGCUCUCCCCUUCCUUCUGGCUCUUUUGCUCCUUCUCUUUCUCCUCCAGGCUCUCCUGUUCCUUCUGGCUCUUUUGCUCCUUCUCUUUCUCCUCCAGGCUCUCCUGUUCCUUCUGGCUCUUUUGCUCCUUCUCUUUCUCCUCCAGGCUCUCCCCUUCCUUCUGGCUCUUUUGCUCCUUCUCUUUCUCCUCCAGGCUCUCCCCUUCCUCCUUCUUCUUCUUCUUUUCCUUCCACACCCCCUCCUCCUUAUUCUCUUGUUCCUUCUUGCACUCCUGCUCCUUCGCUUUCUCCUCCAGGCUCUCCUGUUUCUUCUUCUUUUCCACCUUCACCUCCUCCUCCUUCCCCUCUGGUUCCACCUAUUGUGGCUCUUUCUGAGCUGCCCUGUGUUCCGGAUGCUGGCCUGUCCCUGUCUCCUGUUAUUCAGGACUCAGGCUCUGUAGUGCACGGGACCAGCGAGGACGGGACCAGCGAGGACGGGACCAGCGAGGACGGGACCAGCGAGGACGGGACCAGCGAGGACGGGACCAGCGAGGACGGGACCAGCGAGGACGUACCGGAUGGGGGGGACGAGGAGGCUCCAAGCAGCAGCACGUCACUAAGGAGAGGUAGGGAGGACAGUGAUGAGGAGGGGGCUGCUCCUAAAAGACCAUGUUGUACUGUGAGACACUGUGUCACACAGUAA
rnacentral:lncRNA from 1 species